rnacentral:rRNA from 1 species
GACGAACGCUGGCGGCGUGCCUAAUACAUGCAAGUCGAACGAAGCUGUUUUAACUGGUGCUUGCACCGACUUAAACAACUGAGUGGCGAACGGGUGAGUAACACGUGGGUAACCUGCCCCAAAGCGGGGGAUAACAUUUGGAAACAGAUGCUAAUACCGCAUAACCACAGAAACCACAUGGUUUCUGUGCCAAAGAUGGUUUCGGCUAUCACUUUUGGAUGGACCCGGGGCGUAUUAGCUAGUUGGUAAGGUAAUGGCUUACCAAGGCAAUGAUACGUAGCCGAACUGAGAGGUUGAUCGGCCACAUUGGGACUGGAACACGGCACAACCUCUAACGGGAGGCAGAAGUAGGGAAUCUUCCACAAUGGACGAAAGUCUGAUGGAGCAACGCCGCGUUAGUGAAGAAGGUUUUCGGAUCGUAAAACUCUGUUGUCAGAGAAGAACGUGUGCGAGAGUAACUGUUCGUGCAGUGACGGUAUCUGGCCAGAAAGCCACGGCUAACUACGUGCCAGCCGCCGCCGUAA